rnacentral:rRNA from 2 species
GCAAGUCGAGCGGACAGAUGGGAGCUUGCUCCCUGAUGUUAGCGGCGGACGGGUGAGUAACACGUGGGUAACCUGCCUGUAAGACUGGGAUAACUCCGGGAAACCGGGGCUAAUACCGGAUGCUUGUUUGAACCGCAUGGUUCAAACAUAAAAGGUGGCUUCGGCUACCACUUACAGAUGGACCCGCGGCGCAUUAGCUAGUUGGUGAGGUAACGGCUCACCAAGGCAACGAUGCGUAGCCGACCUGAGAGGGUGAUCGGCCACACUGGGACUGAGACACGGCCCAGACUCCUACGGGAGGCAGCAGUAGGGAAUCUUCCGCAAUGGACGAAAGUCUGACGGAGCAACGCCGCGUGAGUGAUGAAGGUUUUCGGAUCGUAAAGCUCUGUUGUUAGGGAAGAACAAGUACCGUUCGAAUAGGGCGGUACCUUGACGGUACCUAACCAGAAAGCCACGGCUAACUACGUGCCAGCAGCCGCGGUAAUACGUAGGUGGCAAGCGUUGUCCGGAAUUAUUGGGCGUAAAGGGCUCGCAGGCGGUUUCUUAAGUCUGAUGUGAAAGCCCCCGGCUCAACCGGGGAGGGUCAUUGGAAACUGGGGAACUUGAGUGCAGAAGAGGAGAGUGGAAUUCCACGUGUAGCGGUGAAAUGCGUAGAGAUGUGGAGGAACACCAGUGGCGAAGGCGACUCUC